AAAAAUUGAAUUAUUAAAAAGAAAAAUGAGAAAAAGCAGCAGCACCUUCACUUUGGCCACUGCAAGCUCGAACCCGGUUCCAAUGCCGCUGGGCUGUGGCACUAUGGCUCAAGGUACUUUCUAAUUUCCUUUAUUUCAAGCGUUUUCUUAUUUUUUUGUAUUCCACAAGCGUUAGCAACUUAGGUGAAAUGAACGAAUAGGAGGUUGUGCCCGUUUCUCUGUGUGUUCGUGUGGUUUUGGAGAGUAGUAGCUUUAUUUGUUUAGAGGACUUAGAGGUCGUUUGGUUUGAAAGCAAGUUAUGCUGGUAUUAGUUUUUGUUGUUGUUUACUGCUUCCAACAUCUGACAGGUCUAAGUUACCGCGAUGCUAUUUUUAAUCUCGGGAUAACUUAUCCGACUAUUAAUAAACAAACAAGGGAUAGGGCGGUACUAAAUUUUUAUCCUAGUAUUAUUUUUGCUUAUCUAUCACACCAAACAACCCCGUUAGAGUCUUCUGUAUAGAUCAUUUGCUCUGGUUUUGUUCAAAUUUGGUUUCGGUGGACAAUGGACAAUUGAGUUGUGAAGAGGAAAGUUAUAAAAGACUUCGUCUAGACGUUAAGGCUAAUGCGUAAUAGAUAUUUUUAGUUGGACUAAGCUUAGGCGUGACACCAUGAUGAUUGAGGUAGACUAUCAAUCACCUGUAUUAGAUCCAAUAACUGAUAGGAGUCUUUUAAGUUUGUUUGAAGUUGUAUGACAGUGUUGUGAUAGGUGUAAGAUUUAGAUAAUCUCUAUUUUGUCCUAAUGACCAAUAAUUGAGUGGUAGAAUGAGAUGGAUCAAAACGUGUUAUGAACUCAACAAACUCAACACAUGCGGGGGGAAAGAUACCUUGAUUAAACUUCCAAAUAAACUAAUUACAAUGGAAAUGCAAAGUAUAGAGUCAUAAACUAAGGAAAUAGUAACAGAAAGAAAGCAGACAAGGAGACAGAGCUAUAGAGAGAAAUGGACGAGGGAGAGAGAGACCAGGAGAGGGGAAUUCCUCACAAUAAUUUGCAUAACCUCCUUGCUAACCACUAUUCCCUUUUAACCGAUUCCUGACAGCACCUCUUGGGCCUGGAUCCCAAAUUAACUUUCUUAAAGGUCUUCUAGUCCUCUGGCUUCUUCUCGGCCGAAUAGCUUUUUUAGCCCAAUAUUGGGUUGGGGCUGAUUCAGAACAAUAUUCCAGUCCUCAAUUAAAAAGAAACCAGCAGUUCCAUAUGUACUAGCAACACUAGUGCGGGUAAUGUUGUUCACUGAAGCGACAUCAAUGACAAGCACAAAACUUGGAAUAUAUGUCGCUUUGACGAGCUCAUCUCUAUCACAAGUAGAAAGGAAAACAAGUACUGCCCCCAUAACAAGGGCAAGUUGUGCCACUAGAAGCUCUAGCAAAACAAAUGCAGCAAAUGGUAACGAUUUUUCUCAAUGAGGGCCACAACGACUUUUUGCUAUCAUAUGUGGACUGUUCAGAAUCGCUCUUAGCUUAAUGGAUAUAGAGGAUUCAUAUAGCCGACCUAAGCUAGUGUACGAGUGAGGCGUAAUUGUUUUUUUACCUUGCCCAGCCGUCAAUACAGGUCUUAGACUAAAGAUCUUCUGAAAUUCCUGCUUACUUAUUAGUAGAACUUUUACAUUGCUGAAACCCUGCAAGUUAUAACUAGCUGCCCAAAUUUGCAUGAUAAUAUGCUACUAAUUUUAAGCUAGCAAUCAUUACAUAAUUUUAACCUUCCCAUGGUGAAUUACUACAUAGUUGCAAGCCUAUGCCCUUUGGCUUCUGCAAACACACGUGCGACACUUCUUCUGUACUAUCUGGCAAUUUCCUGUGCUAAGUGAAAAUGGUCUUGUCAAACUGAAAUCUAUAUUCAAGACACAUACUGAAAUGGUCUGAGACUUUACUUAAAGCAACAACACCUGAUAUUUUCUUCUCUUUCAUAAUACUCCUCAAUAAAAAGAAAGCUUAGUAGGAAGCAGCUGAUUCUUGUGUCUCAUGCUUUUCAUGGGUACAUGCAUGUAGACUCUAGGACAAUUGAAUUGUGAGCUCAACAUUGUGCAAAAUAAGCCUCGUAAUCCUAUGAUACAAGAUUAAAUGCUUCAAAGUGAAGAUUAGGGUUAUUACGAUAUUACUGUUUAAAUUCUCCGUAAGAAGUAAUAUACGGGCAACUUUCUCUUUGAUGGACUAGAUGUUUUUCUUGCUACUUGAUGCUUGUUGUAAUAUCUUCUAUCACUAGUUCCCAAUUUCUCACACAAUAUAAGUAACUCCUGCUUUGGUUAAGCUGCAAGAUUUUGGCGUUUUGAAUUGUAGUUCAUAUUGACUAGUAGGUUCCCUUGCAAGCAUGUACUUUCAGAACUAGAAGUUGAGGUCCAUGUUGUUGUUUUUAUUUUAUAUAUCACAAUAAGAUAAUAAUUGUAUCAAUGUAGUAGGAAAUCUUUAGGUAUAGAAGUGGUGUACAAAAAGUAGAGAACCUGUACAAAACAUGGUUCUCUAUGAAAGACAUACCAUCUGUACUAACUAGAACCUCAAUGGUGUACAAAAACUUUACAAGGAACAAAAGACAAAUUCUUACAUAUAUACAGCAGUUGAGUAUUUGGACAAAGCGAGUAGUUCAGUCAAUACAAUACAGAAAUUCCUUGCCAAAUCAAUAUACCGUAAGGUUGGGGCCUCUUACGUAUUGGAAGUUGCUAAAGUGUUCGCAUGUUUUCUUGCAUGUCCAUAUUCCCAUUUUGUUUGCAUAUGAUUCUAAUAGUCCAGUUUCAAUUUCAACAGUUUCUGCUGCAUUAAGUUCCUACAAAGAAGGCUUCCAUCAGUUAAUUUUUGGUGACAGUGAGUACAUCAUGCAAAUGAAGCAGUCCAAUCUACUGAGUCGACUAUUUUAAACUACAAUUCUAAGGCAUUUGUUCUUUGUCCUUAGUUUAUUCAUGCGAUACAUGUUAUUCUGAACCAACAGCAGGAAAGGUUUGGUUCCUACUCUGCUCGAUGGGCAAAUUUUUGAGUCUGGAUUUACUUCGUUUUGUUCGAAUAUGCUAACCAACACCUGGACAAAUGCUAAACUGUCUGAUUUCCAGUUACUAAAAUCGAAGUGGGCUGGUAAUCUGGGCCUAUUUGGUCUAGGAAAAAAGAACUCUUCCAUACCUAUAUUUCACUUUUCUAAGUAUCCAUUGCUUUCCUAGAUUGCAUAAAUCAACCAAGUUUAGACUGUCUGUCCAACCCAUGUCAUGUCCACUUGGCUCCGGAAUUCUUUCCACUGGGUUUCUGGUUUCAUAUAUCUCAGUUUGUUGAGUUCAUGAACAUGUAUGUAUCGUUUCAUUAAUAAUUUUAUCAAAGUUUUACAUACAAUGUGGCUAUAUGUGUACUCCUAAUAGAGCAGAAUGGAAACUGCUAUUACUUUUUGGACACUGGCAUUCUCCUGUCAACCGUAAUCCGAAAAGACUGACCUCAAUAAUGUUCGCAAUCAUACCUUAGUUCAGGAUCAACAUACUUGUAUGUAGGAGGAGCUACUGCCUUCCUUCUAAUCGGUGCGAAGAGAAAAGGAAACAAUAAAAGUUCACUUUCAUUGGUGCUUCCCCCUACCACGUAUAUUGGAGCGAGAGCAGGUAAUAGCUUCCUAAACAGGAUUGAGGUAGAGGCCUUUCCGCGCGAAGCAAGAGGAAAUAGGUAUAGGCUGGAUCAAUAAAAGAAAGAUAAGAAAGUUCCGAAAUAGUAUUUUAGUAAAGAAGAGAGGCAUUCUGGGCCAACUACUACGAGUACAUGCCUAUCUAGUGCAGUGGCUUGGAAGCAAGCUACCUUGACCAUCUUCCGAAGUUCUAAAUAAUUUAUUGAUCAAAGGUUGUAAGGGCGGACUGCUUUACAUUCUGCCACACCACAGUGACCUCGAAGUGAUCUUCUUCUAAUUGCGGGACGAAAUUUGACAGCCAAUUGCUGGCUCUGAGUAACUAGCCCAGCAAUAAGCUCAAGUCUUCCAUUACAUAAGGGGUCGGUCUUGCAUGCGAGCCGAAUGACGUAGGUGCACAAGAGUACUUUGUGCCACAACCAUCUCCUUUUUAUAGGUUCUACGGACCGAUGCCUGCUGCUUCAUCUGGGAGAAAAGAGUUUAUAUGAGUAGAGUGAGUAUUUUGCCAAAUGCAACUUGUCUUCUUAGUCUUUCAUUUAUGCAUGCUUGCCUUGCUCUGCUUGUGGUCUCUUACAAUAUUAUGCCCUCUUGCUUGGUCAAGUAUUAGUGCAGAUAUAAACAUAUCAGUCCUUGGUGGUACAAUUCUACUUGCAUCUUAAGUGGUCUACCAACAUUGGUUCGGUUAAGCACAUUUGCCUUUUAAUGCAGAUGUAGCUUUAAAAGUGCACUUCAGGAGUCUCAGCACAAAUGAAAAUUCACGAUUUUGAAAAUACAAGUCGAGCACAGAACAACUUAACAAGUAUGUAUGGUUGUCCAUCCUUUAAAUGAUUGCUCAUUCUGAUAUGAAUCCAGUUAGAAAGGGAACUAGAAAUAACUUUUAAGUACAAAUCAAGUUGAGCUUGUAUAUUUUUAGGUGUUGAUAAGAGAAUUUUCAGAAGGACAACUUGCUUUUUGCUCCUCAAGUUAUUGCUUGAUUUCAAUUUCCCUGUUUCUUUCAGUAAUAUAAUUGACCAAUCUUUAGCAAUCCCAUAAGUUACAGAGUCUUCCAUCCCCUUCUUCUUUUGUCUAUCCCUCAUAUCCUUGAUAAUCCUUCUUCAUACCUUGUAACCCCUUAUGUACUUGAUCACGCCUAAUAUGCCUUAUAAAAAGGAUUAUGCGGUCGUUGUAAAUAUAAUCCAGUUUACAAGUUCGGAGUCGAAUCCCACAGAGAAUUAAGGCUUAGCAAUAUUGCUAAGAAGACGAGCUCGAAUAAUUCAUAAGUUAUAAAUAUUAAGAUUCUUAUAUCUAAUUAACUAAAUAAUUAAAUUAGUAGAUUAACAACUAAAGAUACUACAGGUUGGAGAAAAGAUUUAGCAGGUCUAGAGUUAUGAUUUUUCCAAUUAUCGGAAUCCUUUCCGCUGCGUUUUUAUAAAUUUGCUUAAGUUUUCUCUAUCGAUCAUGAGCACUAUGACUGUCGUAACUCUCUCCCGAGUAGUUACAACAAUAUACUAGACAUAUUCUUCCGAAUUACGCUAGCUAGCUUUAAUUGCAGCUCACUUAGAUCGCAUCCAAGGUUUCGUUAUCCCUAAUCUCACCUUUAAACCCUUCGUAUUGAUUUCUCAUAUACGUUAGAAGUGAUGAUGUUUAACAACCACCUAAAUAUACAUUCUCUCCCGAGUAAUGCACACUAAAUAGGAACAUCUAAUUGAGGGCCCUUCAAUAAAUAGCAAUACGCAUAUAGUUAAACAAAUAGAGAUAAUACUACGGCAAAUCUAUAUUAACAUAACGAGAAAAUCAUCCUUCGACAGGUUCCAUCAAAACCUUAGAUAACAAAUUAGCUAUUCAUAAUAGUAUGCAUAACUACAAUACCAGAAUUCAUAACCAAUAAUGAAAAUAGGAAGAAAGAAGAGAAAAACUCGUAGAAGAAUUCUCUGCCUUGCUUCUAGUGUGUUCUUGCCUUCUUAGGUGCAAUCUCCGGUCUCCACGACAGCUCCGUGCUCUUCCUAGGUCUAAAUUAUGUCAAAAGUAUGUCCAACUCCUUCAAAAUAGCGUUUUUACAUGUAUUUAUACCAAAUAGGGUCGGGCCCAAACGAAACAGUUUUUCCUGCGCGAAAUAGGACUCUGGCUCUGUAAAAUUUGCACAGGCACGCUGCAUUGGACGAUGCACUGUGCGGCGCGGUAGUGGGGAAGUUCAGAGAGUUGUUUUCUGACAAACUGUUGGAAAAUUGCACAGGUGUGACGCACUGUGCGGCGCGGUAGUAGGAAUUCGCGAAAAUGCAAAACAUGAAAGUUGUAGCCUUUUCAAAUAGCUUUCCAACGAUAUAUUGUGGAGUCCAAACGGUGUUCUGAGCGAAAAGUUAUGUGCAUUUUACUAGACAAUGUGUUGUAUGCCCACUCGAUUCUCCGUUUCGUUCUUAUCUAUCAUCCGCUGAUCCCCGAACACGAUCCCGAUUUGAUUCCUUAGGCUUUUACUCAAACUGUAAAGAUCCAAAUCUCUUGAAUUCACUCCAUAAUAUCUACAUAGCUCGGAACCACUCCUACAACGCAUAAAAUACACAAUUAGUGCAAAACACUAGCGAUUAAAGCUCAAACUCAAUUAAAGUGUAGUACAUUAGAGUGUAAUAAGAGACUAAAAUACGUAACUAUAGCCUAUCAUAAGUACUCCUGAACAUUGCUUCCUACUUCUUGCAACCUUGCCAUUUGCCUCAAAAACUGUUAUUCUCUGCCUUUCCCCUGGUUCAUAAAUGGUACUGCAACAUGUGCAGUAAUUUGGGGCAGAAUUCAUGCAAAGGUUAAGGGUAGUUAACGAUGGGGUUGCAAAGUGCAGGUAAGGUCUUAGAGCCACUUAGCAAUUAUUUGGAUGCCAAUUGCUCACUGAUGAUUACUCAUUUUGUUACUCGGGUUUCACCUCCAUAUUGUUAGUAUUGUGCAUCAACAACAUACCACAUUGUGAUUUUUUCAAUUUAAUUUAUGGUAGUUGCAGAAGCGGGAUUAAUAUAUAUUUCGUGUUUCUCGUAAAGAAAAUCAGGUGAUUAAUAUUAGAAAAUUUAUUCUUAUGCUUAUCAUUUUUUUUAGGAUUUUGGUGCAUAUGUAUUAUUUGUUGAAUCAAACAGUUUUAACUAAUGAAAACUUUGGAGAAACAAAGGCAAAGUAGGGUAUCAACCUGAAUUCACUAAGCAUAAGCUUUACAUAAAUGUGCAAAAUCUGAAAAAUAGUCAAAGAAAAAAGUCACUCAUAUCUGGAAUAUCUUAUCUUUCGCCUGAAUCAGACCCUAAAUACACCGGGACAUCGAUCAAACAAUCCAAAUUAAGUUGGUUGUGGAUCUCGUUAGUCCGUAGUUGAGCAAUAUCUCCAUGUAAUUCUUUUACGUUAAAUAUUUUUAGGAGAGGAUCCAAAUUAAGUUAGUUGCUAAGCUGAUCUGUUCAUUGUUGCAUUAUUUCAGGCUCAUCUCAUAGACCUAAGCAUCCGUUUGAACAUCUCAGCCUUGGAGACUAUUUUUUUAUUUAUGAACAUCUACUGCUGGCUUUAUACAGUUCUUUCUUUCUUAAAAAGCCUCAUGAAAUUCUUGAAUAAUGCUCUAGUUAAGAAUCUCCACAAUGUAGAACUCUCAGCCUUGUUGAAGAUUUGGUGGGUGCCUGUCCUAUUAAAUUCUAUGUGUUUCACAGAUUAUGUCAUUUCUUGAGGAGACUACCAAAUUGCAAGUGGGAGAAUGAAUCAAUUAACUUCCUGACUAGUAUUGUCGGCAUUUGGUAAUGAAUAUAACGUCGACUAUCCUUUUCUUUUAUGACUUGGACUUCUACUAUAUGGAAAGACAUGUAUAUUAUGGUGAUUGGUGUAAAGUUGUGUUGUUUUUCAAAAUCCCGUUUGUGCUUAUUGCGCAUACGUAGGUAUAUUUACGUGUCUACAUUGGACUAUUUUCUAAGGACAGAAGUUUAUUUGUACUCAUUCUGGCAUACCAUCUGCUCCUAAAUUUGCAAAAAAGACUGCGACAACCUUUGUGAAUACAUGUCAACUGUUAACUAAAAUCAACAUUCCUGAAAUAGUGCAUGCUCAAAGAAUGGUGAUAUUUAAAUCUUUUGUUUAUUUAUCUACUUGUUAAUUUGUGUAUGGUGAAUGGUGAUUGAAACAAUAUAAUCAUCCUAAAGUUUUAUUUGCAUCUCCAUGUUAUGGGUGAACUCUCGUGUACAAUAAAAGAACGAGAAUAUAGAUGCUAAAUUCAGCAGAGUGGCGCUCAAGAUUUAUGUUGUCUGAUGUAUUUGAAGGGGGAGUUGCAGGCAAUCUUUCCUCAGCUUACAUAGUAUCUCAUCAUCUUGUAUGUGGAAGACACUAGACAUCUCAGCGGAGAGAAGACGACCUGGAAUUUGUAGGGUAAAUAUUUUGUUCUACUCACUUCAUAAUUUGAGUUUGAUAAGUCCUUUUUUCGCCGUUUGAAAUUCAAGUCAUGUAAGUCUCUGAAUAUGCAGACAGUUUGUCAAGAAAAUAUUCAAGUGCUUCAUGACUAUUGCUCCUUGUAAGUACCCAGAUAAUGUAGUAUGCUUUGGAGUCUCCAACAUCAGCCUGUCGUCAUUAACUCUGAUGCUUAGUUCAAUUAUGUUUUUAUAGACUAAACUGAAAAGCAAAUUAUGGAUUUGCAUAAUGUUGCUUGGACAUGGUUUACAGGUCUAAAUAUAAUAAAUAUUCUCAAUUCUUUGUUGGAUUAAAUCUUUUAGUUUUUGCCCCAUGUGGAUACU
rnacentral:lncRNA from 1 species